rnacentral:rRNA from 1 species
GGGUGCCUACGGGAGGCAGCAGUUAGGAAUAUUCGGCAAUGGGGGAAACCCUGACCGAGCAAUGCCGCGUGUGAGAUGACGGCCCUAUGGGUUGUAAAUCACUUUUAUUUGGGAAGAACUGUAAGUAGAGGAAAUGAUACUUACUUGACGGUACCUUUUGAAUAAGCCCCGGCUAACUACGUGCCAGCAGCCGCGGUAAUACGUAGGUGGCGAGCGUUAUCCGGAUUUAUUGGGCGUAAAGCGUCCGCAGCCGGUUUAUUAAGUAUAGAAUAAAACUUCGGGGCUCAACCCCGUCUCGUUCUAUA